AGUGACGGUACCUGCAGAAAAAGCACCGGCUAACUACGUGCCAGCAGCCGCGGUAAUACGUAGGGUGCAAGCGUUGUCCGGAAUUAUUGGGCGUAAAGAGCUCGUAGGCGGUUUGUCGCGUCUGCUGUGAAAUCCCGAGGCUCAACCUCGGGCUUGCAGUGGGUACGGGCAGACUAGAGUGCGGUAGGGGAGAUUGGAAUUCCUGGUGUAGCGGUGGAAUGCGCAGAUAUCAGGAGGAACACCGAUGGCGAAGGCAGAUCUCUGGGCCGUAACUGACGCUGAGGAGCGAAAGCAUGGGGAGCGAACAGGAUUAGAUACCCUGGUAGUCCAUGCCGUAAACGUUGGGCGCUAGAUGUAGGGACCUUUCCACGGUUUCUGUGUCGUAGCUAACGCAUUAAGCGCCCCGCCUGGGGAGUACGGCCGCAAGGCUAAAACUCAAAGGAAUUGACGGGGGCCCGCACAAGCGGCGGAGCAUGCGGAUUAAUUCGAUGCAACGCGAAGAACCUUACCAAGGCUUGACAUACACCGGAAACGGCCAGAGAUGGUCGCCCCCUUGUGGUCGGUGUACAGGUGGUGCAUGGUUGUCGUCAGCUCGUGUCGUGAGAUGUUGGGUUAAGUCCCGCAACGAGCGCAACCCUCGUUCUAUGUUGCCAGCGGGUUAUGCCGGGGACUCAUAGGAGACUGCCGGGGUCAACUCGGAGGAAGGUGGGGAUGACGUCAAAUCAUCAUGCCCCUUAUGUCUUGGGCUUCACGCAUGCUACAAUGGCCGGUACAAAGGGCUGCGAUACCGUAAGGUGGAGCGAAUCCCAAAAAGCCGGUCUCAGUUCGGAUUGAGGUCUGCAACUCGACCUCAUGAAGUCGGAGUCGCUAGUAAUCGCAGAUCAGCAACGCUGCGGUGAAUACGUUCCCGGGCCUUGUACACACCGCCCGUCAAGUCAUGAAAGUCGGUAACACCCGAAGCCGGUGGCCUAACCCUUGUGGAAGGAGCCGUCGAAGGUGGGAUCGGUGAUUAGGACUAAGUCGUAACAAGGUAGCCGUACCGGAAGGUGCGGCUGGAUCACCUCCUUUCU
rnacentral:rRNA from 9 species